rnacentral:piRNA from 1 species
UAAUAUGUAUUUGAGGGGGUUUAACCCUUGGU